AUUGACCGCUGGCGGCAGGCCUAACACAUGCAAGUCGCACGAGUGGCGGACGGGUGAGUAAUGUAUGGGAAACUGCCUGAUGGAGGGGGAUAACAACUGGAAACGGUAGCUAAUAACGCAUACCAUCAGAUGUGCCCAGAUGGGAUGAGCUGGUGGGUGGGGUAACGGCUCACCAAGGCGACGAUCCCUAGCUGGUCUCAGAGGAUGACCCGCCACACUGGAACGGAGACACGGUCCAGGCUCCUACGCGAGGCAGCAGUGGGGAAUAUUGCACAAUGGGCGCAAUCCUGAUGCAGCCAUGCAGCGUGUAUGAAGAGGGCCUUCGGGUUGUAAAGUACUUUCAGCGGGGAGGCGUUACCCGCAGAAGAAGCACCGGCUAACUCCGUGCCAGCGGCCGCGGUAAUUC
rnacentral:rRNA from 1 species